rnacentral:rRNA from 1 species
CCUACGGGAGGCUGCAGUGAGGAAUAUUGGUCAAUGGACGAGAGUCUGAACCAGCCAAGUAGCGUGAAGGCUGACUGCCCUAUGGUUUUUAAACUUCUUUUAUAUGGGAAUGAAAUGUUCCACGUGUGGGAUUUUGUAUGUACCAUAUGACUAAGGAUCGGCUACCUCCGUGCCAGCAGCGUCGGUAAUACGGAGGAUCCGAGCGUUAUCAGGAUUUCUUGGGGUUAAAGGGAGUGUAGAUGGAGUGUUAAGUCAGUGGUGAAAGUUUGCGGCUCAACCGUAAAAUUGCAGUUGAAACUGGCAGUCUUGAGUACAGUAGAGGUGGGCGGAAUACGUGGUGUAGCGGUGAAAGGCUUAGAUAUCACGAAGAACUCCGAUGGCGAAGGCAGUUCACUGGACUGCAACUGACACUGAGGCUCGAAAGUGUGGGUAUCAAACAGGAUUAGAUACCCCAGUAGUC